UACGGAGGGUGCAAGCGUUAUCCGGAUUCACUGGGUUUAAAGGGUGCGUAGGAGGGCAGGUAAGUCAGUGGUGAAAUCUCCAAGCUUAACUUGGAACUGCCGUUGAUACUAUCUGUCUUGAAUACCGUGGAGGUGAGCGGAAUAUGUCAUGUAGCGGUGAAAUGCUUAGAUAUGAACAUAGAACACCAAUUGCGAAGGCAGCUCGCUACACGAAUAUUGACUCUGAGGCACGAAAGCGUGGGAUCAAACAGG
rnacentral:rRNA from 1 species